UGCAGCCUCGUCAAAUUCAGUGCAUCCUCCUGUGUGGGUGUCACUGGCCCAAAGGGCUGCCACAGCCACCGUGUAGCUCAUGGGCCCCAGAGAGCUGUUCUGUGCCCUCUGGGGAUAAAUCGUGCUACGUACAAAC
ensembl:snoRNA small nucleolar RNA SNORA5